rnacentral:miRNA from 1 species
UGACGUCAUUAGCGACCCGACC